UCGCCAACACAGCUAUUUAUGUCUGCCACAAGAAAUCAAUGGAAGAGAGUGUAAAGCAGGCAGCUAAGGGCUGAAACCAACUGGUUACUAUAUGGCACUGGGAACCGAUUGACUUGGGCAGCACACUAAGUGAGUUUGUGAAGUGAUGAUACUAGGUGUUCUGGUGAGGGUUUCAUCCACAACAGUUUCUUGACAAACACAUGCAAAGGCAAGGCAACUGUUCAGCUGAAAAGACCCUAACAGAAAUA